rnacentral:rRNA from 1 species
ACGUAGGGGGCAAGCGUUGUCCGGAAUCAUUGGGCGUAAAGAGCGCGUAGGCGGUCCGGUAAGUCCGCUCUGAAAGUCCGGGGCUCAACCCCGGGAGGCGGGCGGAUACUGCCGGGCUAGAGUCCGGAAGAGGCGAGUGGAAUUCCAGGUGUAGCGGUGAAAUGCGUAGAUAUCUGGAGGAACACCGGUGGCGAAGGCGGCAUCCUGGACCGGCAUUGACGCUGAGGCGCGAAAGCCAGGGGAGCAAACGGGA